rnacentral:rRNA from 1 species
CAUUCUGGAUCGGGUGCGGACCAGUGUCGUCGGUGAUCUGCUGAUAGGCAUAUCCGACCAAGCCGACGAAUACCUGUUUUGAGAGAAACUGCGACGCGCCCCAGUCGAAAUGGAAGUCGACGCCGCUCUGAACCCCCGUAUCGGGAUUCUUGAAGUUGUAUGUGAACCCGCCACGCCGGAGAAUUCGUGUCCCGUCUUCGGGUUGAGGUAGGUAUAGCCGCCACCGCCGUCGAUUGCACCGAGACCGACUGAGCCGCAAC